CCCGCCCCCCGGGAGCAUGUGGUUUAAUUGAAGCAACGCGAAGAACCUUACCAGGUCUCCACAUCCUCUGACAAUCCUAGAGAUAGGACGUCCCCUUCGGGGGCAGAGUGACAGGUGGUGCAUAAGUCAGCUCGUGUCGUGAGAUGUUGGGUUAAGUCCCGCAACGAGCGCAACCCUUGAUCUUAGUUGCCAGCAUUCAGUUGGGCACUCUAAGGUGACUGCCGGUGACAAACCGGAGGAAGGUGGGGAUGACGUCAAAUCAUCAUGCCCCUUAUGACCUGGGCUACACACGUGCUACAAUGGACAGAACAAAGGGCAGGAACCGCGAGGUUAAG
rnacentral:rRNA from 2 species